rnacentral:lncRNA from 1 species
UGGCUUAUGGUCAGAGGACAACUUUGUGGAGUUGGUUCCCUCCUUCCACCUUUGUAUGGGUUCUUGGGAUCCAACUCAGGUCCCCAGGCUUCCUCAGCAAGUGUCUCUACCUGGAAAGCCAUUGGGAUGGGCCCUAGACCACUGUGCUGUCACUUCUAUGACCGUGAAACACAUGGGCUUCUGAAAUUGAGGUAUUUCAAUAAACAAUGAUCUCAGUGGAGGAGAAAGCUAUAUUUAUAAAUCAGAAUCAUUGGACAAGAUUCUCAAACUGCUGAUGUGAGCCCCAAUUCUACUCCUCUGUCUGUAGACAGGCACAUGAUGUACUCAAGAGAUGUAUUAACUUGGAUGAGUCGAAGGUAUAAAACGUGCAGUGGACUGUGAAAACGUCUCUGUGAAGGAUCGAAUGUAAGUAGCUCAGGUUCUGUGGGCCACAUGGUCUUCGCCAUCUACCUGCUGUCUACUAACUGUACUACUGCAGCAGAAGGUAAGCACAAGGACGUCUGCCUGUGGUCCAAUAGCACUUGAUUGGUAAAGGCUAUGGCUCAUAGUUUGCCAACCUCUGACCACACGUAACAUAGCUUAUAGAUAAAUUGG